UAGGCCAGUUAAGAGACCAGUGGGCUA
rnacentral:piRNA from 1 species